rnacentral:tRNA from 1 species
GCCGGUUUAGCUUAGUGGUAGAGCGUUGCACUUGUACCCCCCCAUCGACAUAUUCAGCAUGCAAAGGUCGGUUGUUCAAUCCAGCCAACCGGCA